GAUGAACGCUGGCGGCGUGCCUAAUACAUGCAAGUCGAGCGAACAGACGAGGAGCUUGCUCCUCUGAUGUUAGCGGCGGACGGGUGAGUAACACGUGGAUAACCUACCUAUAAGACUGGGAUAACUUCGGGAAACCGGAGCUAAUACCGGAUAACAUGUUGAACCGCAUGGUUCAACAGUGAAAGACGGUCUUGCUGUCACUUAUAGAUGGAUCCGCGCCGCAUUAGCUAGUUGGUAAGGUAACGGCUUACCAAGGCAACGAUGCGCAGCCGACCUGAGAGGGUGAUCGGCCACACUGGAACUGAGACACGGUCCAGACUCCUACGGGAGGCAGCAGUAGGGAAUCUUCCGCAAUGGGCGAAAGCCUGACGGAGCAACGCCGCGUGAGUGAAGAAGGUCUUCGGAUCGUAAAACUCUGUUAUUAGGGAAGAACAAAUGUGUAAGUAACUAUGCACGUCUUGACGGUACCUAAUCAGAAAGCCACGGCUAACUACGUG
rnacentral:rRNA from 1 species